UACAGAGGGGGCAAGCGUUGUUCGGAAUUACUGGGCGUAAAGGGCGCGUAGGCGGCCUGCUAAGUCGAACGUGAAAUCCCUGGGCUCAACCCAGGAACUGCGUCCGAUACUGGUUGGCUUGAAUCCGGGAGAGGGAUGUGGAAUUCCAGGUGUAGCGGCGAAAUGCGUAGAUAUCUGGAGGAACACCGGUGGCGAAGGCGGCAUCCUGGACCGGUAUUGACGCUGAGGCGCGAAAGCCAGGGGAGCAAACGGG
rnacentral:rRNA from 1 species